AAAGCCUCCCAGCUCCUGGUUUCGCUGGGCUUCCUCAGCUGUUUGUCCUUGUGGGAGAGGAGCCUGUGUCUUCACAUAAUCUGACUCUAAAGUGAGCAAUGUUCAUCAGUUACCAGAGUGUGUGGCUUCUCAGUGUGCCUGCUCCCUCUUCUUCAUGAAGAUCCUCACCACACCCAGCAACACCAUCACCGGAAAUCUCUGGGAAGAGGGUUAUGAAGCUUCUUUUUUUUUUUUUUUUUCUGAGAAAUAAAUGGAAGAGGUGAAUGCUGAGUUAACUUCUACUGAAAUGUGGUUGAGGUUUUCAGAAACGGAUGUGUGUAUUUGGGUAAUGAGAUGCAUCCCUAUCAACCUGAUUGUAAAAAUGCUGAAUUUACCACCACAUCUGCGGAAGCCAAUGGUUACUUAUCCUCCACGACAUUAUCAUGAACAAACCAGGGUCACAAGGACCCUACAGGCUUCUUAUCUGCCUAGAAGCACUAGAAACGUAUUUGAUGUGGUGUGCUUGAAAAGAAUAAAAAUUAAAAAAAGGAAAAGAAUACCUUUUGAGAAGGCAAAACUUGUGCCCGGGACUCCUCUUGGCUGCAGUAUGACAGCAGCAGCAUCUCCCGACCUGCCAGGCACUUCCAGCUUUCAGGCAGCACGGUGAGUUGUGUCAGACUGGCGUCGGUCUUGUAUUCCUAUCUUAUGAAACAUUUUCAAUGGAACAUUUUAAUUAAGAUCAGCUUUGCACACUGGCAUCAGACGACGCACAACCUUCCCACAGUCAAAUAUCACUGGAGAAAACAGUAAGCAGUUGGUUGUAGCUCUGCGUUGAGCUUUGAACCAAGGUGGGAACCCACUCCAGGUUUUCAUGCAGUGUCCAACUGCAGCCGUGCUCCGAGAGCUCAGCCUGGUGUGUGAUGUGUAAAAAACACCAGGAUAUCUGUUCCACAAAUACAGAACUCAUUCCCUGGAUUCAGAUGGAUUUUCUGACAUUUAACGAGUAAAUCUGUAAUGGAGUUGGGAAUUAAAAUUAAUUUGAAC
rnacentral:lncRNA from 7 species